rnacentral:rRNA from 1 species
AUUACACGUGGUCGUAUCAUUUGGAAGUCCAAGAUUCCACUAAAAGUGAACAUUUUCAUGUGGUAUCUUCGUAGGGGGGUUGUGUUAACCAAAGACAAUCUCGCACGACGCAACUGGCAAGGGAGUAAGAAGUGUUGUUUUUGUACUCAUGACGAGACAAUCAAACACCUCCUUUCCAAUGCAAGUUUGCAUGUUCUACGUGGUCAGUCAUCCAAAUAG